AUUAGAUACCCUGGUAGUCCACGCCGUAAACUAUGGAUGCUAGCUGUUAUUCGUAUCGACCCGAGUAGUAGCGAAGCUAACGCGUUAAGCAUCCCGCCUGUGGAGUACGGUCGCAAGACUAAAACAUAAAGGAAUUGACGGGGACCCGCACAAGCGGUGGAGCGUGUUGUUUAAUUCGAUGGUAAGCGAAGAACCUUACCCAGACUUGACAUCCUUGGAAGCACUGCGAAAGCAGAGUGUGCCUCCGGGAACCAAGUGACAGGUGUUGCAUGGCCGUCGUCAGCUCGUGUCGUGAGAUGUUUGGUUAAGUCCAUCAACGAGCGCAACCCUUGUGGCUAGUUGAAUUUUUCUAGUCAGACUGCCCUGGUAACAGGGAGGAAGGAGGGGAUGAUGUCAGGUCAGUAUUACCCUUACGUCUGGGGCUACAAACACGCUACAAUGGCCGGUACAAAGGGCUGCCAAGUCGCGAGACGGAGCAAAUCCCAUCAAAACCGGUCCCAGUUCGGAUUGCAGGCUGAAACUCGCCUGCAUGAAGUCGGAAUCGCUAGUAACGGUAGGUCAGCACACUACCGUGAAUACGUUCCCGGGUCUUGUACACACCGCCCGUCAAACCAUGAAAGUCGCCAAUACCUGACGUCUUAGCUAGUCUAGGCCUAAGGUAGGGGAGAUGAUUGGGGUUAAGUCGUAACAAGGUAAC
rnacentral:rRNA from 1 species